AAUCAACGCUGGCGGCGUGCCUCAGACAUGCAAGUCGAACGCUGCUGUUCGCCUUCGGGUGGACAGCGGAGUGGCGCACGGGUGAGUAACACGUAGGUAAUCUACCUUUGGGUGGGGAAUAACAGCCGGAAACGGCUGCUAAUACCGCAUAAUGCAGCGGCAUCACAUGAUGACAGUUGUUAAAGCGAGGGAUCGUAAGACCUCGCGCCUGAAGAGGAGCCUGCGGCAGAUUAGGUAGUUGGUGAGGUAAUGGCUCACCAAGCCUGCGAUCUGGUAACCGCUGAGAGGGCGGUCGGUCACACUGACA
rnacentral:rRNA from 1 species